rnacentral:rRNA from 1 species
AGAGUUCGAUCAUGGCUCAGGACGAACGCUGGCGGCGCGCCUAACACAUGCAAGUCGAACGGGGUUAUGCCGAAUGAAGUUUUCGGAUGGAAUUUGGUAUAACCUAGUGGCGGACGGGUGAGUAACACGUGAGCAACCUGCCUAUCAGAGGGGGAUAACGAUUGGAAACGAUCGCUAAUACCGCAUGACAUAGCGAAACCGCAUGGUUUUGCUAUCAAAGAUUUAUCGCUGAUAGAUGGGCUCGCGUCCGAUUAGAUAGUUGGUGAGGUAACGGCUCACCAAGUCGACGAUCGGUAGCCGGACUGAGAGGUCGAACGGCCACAUUGGGACUGAGACACGGCCCAG